rnacentral:rRNA from 1 species
CCUACGGGUGGCAGCAGUCGAGAAUUUUUCUCAAUGGGGGAAACCCUGAAGGAGCGACGCCGCGUGGAGGAUGAAGGUUUUCGGAUUGUAAACUCCUGUCAUUGGUGAACAAGACACUGGGAAGUAACUAUUCUGGUGUUCGAUAGUAGCCGAAGAGGAAGGGACGGCUAACUCUGUGCCAGCAGCCGCGGUAAUACAGAGGUCCCGAGCGUUGUUCGGAUUCAUUGGGCGUAAAGGGUGCGUAGGCGGCGGGGUAAGUCUGAUGUGAAAGGCUG